UACAGAGACUGCAAGCGUUAUUCGGAUUCACUGGGCGUAAAGGGUGCGCAGGCGGUCGUGUGUGUCAGAUGUGAAAUCCCGGGGCUUAACUCCGGAACUGCGUCUGAAACUGCACGACUAGAGCAUUGGAGAGGGUAGUGGAAUUCACGGUGUAGCAGUGAAAUGCGUAGAUAUCGUGAGGAACACCAGAGGCGAAGGCGACUACCUGGACAAUUGCUGACGCUCAGGCACGAAAGCAUGGGGAGCAAAAGGG
rnacentral:rRNA from 1 species